rnacentral:rRNA from 1 species
GCGGCAGCGCGGGGCAACCUGGCGGCGAGCGGCGAACGGGUGAGUAAUGCAUCGGAACAUGUCCAUGUCGUGGGGGAUAGCCCGGCGAAAGCCGGAUUAAUACCGCAUACGCCCGAGAGGGGAAAGCAGGGGACCGCAAGGCCUUGCGCGAUUGGGUUGGCCGAUGUCCGAUUAGCUUGUUGGUGAGGUAAAGGCUUACCAAGGCGAUGAUCGGUAGCUGGUCUGAGAGGAUGAUCAGCCACACUGGGACUGAGACACGGCUCAGACUCCUACGGGAGGCAGCAGUGGGGAAUUUUGGACAAUGGGGGCAACCCUGAUCCAGCCAUUCCGCGUGAGUGAAGAAGGCCUUCGGGUUGUAAAGCUCUUUUGUCCGGAGCGAAACGGUACGGGUGAAUAUCCCGUGCUACUGACGGUACCGGAAGAAUAAGCACCGGCUAACUACGUGCCAGCAGCCGCGGUAAUA